CAGCGCACAGCCUGACACCGACCCCAGCCACAGAGGCAAUAAGGCAGACAGGAUGUUAUUCACACGUGCCGAAACGAAGUUAAACCCCCACGCUGCUCAGCCUGCUGUGCCGUGCCCAUUAGGUUCGUGUUCCCUGCGCUGCAGAGCACAGCCUGACACGGAAGAUGCCGUUUUUGGUACGUUCUCUAGUUCACCUUGAGAACAGAAACCAGCGGAGGCAGCGGUUUGAGGUCAGGGGCAAAGGUCUGCUGCUGCUCUCACUCACAAUAGGAAAACGCACAGAUGCGAUUCCUGCCCGCUGCUCGAGGCGGCCAUCUGGACACGGACUGCCCUGUUGGUGUCAGCUCCUCCCUUGUGACAAAUCCAAACACCCCCCCAGCUCCAACACCACACCCCAGGAGCCCAGCAGACAUGUUCUCUAUCAUCCAACAGCAGCAGCUGAAAUGAAGUACUUCAUUCGGGCCUACCGGAUCCUCCGCCUCUGCCAUAGCAGCCAAUGCUCAGUAAGGAUCCCAGGCCAUUUUUAGUGCGUUUCCCCAUCAGUGACUGAGCCUGCAGACCCUGCGUGACCCCACAGGCUGAACGGAACGGAGCAAACAGAGCCGUCAGCACACGCUGAGCAACUGGAGAGAGCCAUUAACAGGUUAGUCAAAAACACCGUCCUUCACUGCGAAAGUUAUUCCUUUCUGGAUGCAGCCGGAGCACUUUGGAUCAUCUCUAUCAGACACCGCAGUAGGACUGAAGCAGAGUGAACUCCAUGAGCGCCAAGCUUCAGCACAUUAAUUGCUGCUCCUCAGGAACCCGAGACGACCAUUUGAAGGCUGUCUUUUGUCUCAAUGGAAUUUCAGCAUCUCCUUGGGCUUUGCAUUUAUACCAUUCGUGUGAACAGCAAAACUGCACGCAGAUGAUACAGAAGUAACAUAAUAGCAGCAGUAACCGGAUUAACAAUCCAUUAGCACAGAUCUGAAAUCCCAGUGGUUAUUAACUGGGAGUGAAGGGAGGGGUUGCUAUUCUCCAUAUUAGCACAUGAAUAAAACACUG
ensembl:lncRNA